GCCCUCAUAGCUCAAUGGACAGAGUACUGGCUUGCGGAGCCAUUGAUGGAAGUUCGAAUCUUCCUGGGGGCA
rnacentral:tRNA from 1 species